rnacentral:tRNA from 1 species
UAUUAUUUUGGCAGAUUAGUGCAAUGAAUUUAGAAUUCAAAAAUAUAAUUUUUAUUAUAAAUAAUA